rnacentral:lncRNA from 1 species
UCUCUUUUUUUCCAAUUUCGACUUUUGGUUGCAAAAAAUGGAGAUGAUUUCCGUCCUGCGCGACUGAAGUUUGGUUGUGUGUUCGUCGCAAAAUUGAGUCGAGGUGUCGAUUCGGGUUUCUGAGGUUCAUCUGCGGUCGAAUUCUGGUUUAUGAUUCUUGUUGCUGCUGUUUUGCUUAUUCAUUUCAAAACUUCGUCGGAAAGUCAGUUUGUAAUCGCAUACAAACAAAUUCAAUCAAAACCUUUUCAUAUUCAGGUUCAUUUCCUUACUCUUUUGGUUCUGUUUUUUGCUGGUUUUGAACGUUGAUUGAUUGCGGAUGAAUUCUCUUCGAUGUAAAUGUGUUCUGUUCUAUCGUUAUAUUAGAAGUAUAUUUUAACUUCGAAUCUGUUUGCCUCCUACUAUUGAAGAAUUGAUUACAAGGCUUCAAGAAAUCGAAAUAGCUGAUCUAAUUCUUUGUAUAGUUCCCUGAAUCGAAUAGCCUAUUUGUGAAGCUUUGAAAGUUGUGAGUUAAUUGAGAAUUCUGUGACUUUCUUGGAAUCCUAUUUCGUUUAUGUCAACUGUGUGUUCAUCAAAUUCUUCAGGUGAAAUCUCUUAGACGGUAAACGAGCAUGAACUAUUUGGAUCUAUGCUUGUUUUAAUUAGUGUGUUAGAUUAAUAUCGAAGUAUUGGAUCUAAUCUUGAUGAAAUUGUAUUCCAUACGCUGUUCUUGUUGGUGUUUUUCUUGAUGCCAAGUUCAUUAGGUUCAGUUAUCUUGAGGUAAGCGUGAUGUUUACUGGCAUGCUCUUUUCACUCUCGACACUAAAAUUAUCACUUAAUUGACCUUAUGUCCUGAGAAGUUUGGGCUAAGUUGUGAAAAUUUUCCUCGCUGCAAACUUCCUUCAAAUGUAAUUGAAAGAACAACAGUUUUUUUUUGAAUUCCCAAAGUUAUUUGGUGUAGUAGUUUAUGAGCGAGUCAACUGGUGUUCCAUUUUUUGAAUAACACUGUCCAUGCCUUCCAGUGAUCCAAAUAACACGUGACUCAUUGCUCUAUCAAAUUGACGGAUCUAUACCUUUUCACAUAUGUUGGGCGAGAACUUCUGUUGUUUCCAUGAUUAGACAGAACUAGUUGGCUUGGAUUUAUGAAUUGUUUUCACAUAUAGUUAGUUUGAUCAUGAGUUGAUAAAUCAAGUAGGGUGCAUUUUGGGAAAGGGUGUGGUAUCCAUGUUAGUUAUUAUUUUUAGUUCAUCUCAAGUGUCCUGUCAACUCACUUUGUUUAUUGGA